CCUACGGGCGGCAGCAGUGGGGAAUAUUGCACAUUGGGGGAAACCCUGAUGCAGCGACGUCGCGUGAGUGAUGAAGUAUUUCGGUAUGUAAAGCUCUAUCAGCAGGGAAGAAAAUGACGGUACCUGACUAAGAAGCCCCGGCUAACUACGUGCCAGCAGCCGUGGUAAUAAGAAGGGGGCAAGCGAUAUCCGGAUUUACUGGGAUGAAAGGGAGCGUAGACGGCGGUGAAAGCCAGAUGGGAAAGCCUGGGGCGCAACCCCGGGACUGCAUUGGGAACUGUGCUGCUAGAGUGUCGGAGAGGCAGGCGGAAUUCCUAGUGGAGCGGUGAAAUGCGUAGAUAUUAGGAGGAACACCAGUGGCGAAGGCGGCCUGCUGGACGAUGACUGACGUGGAGGCUCGAAAGCGUGGGGAGCAAACAGGAUUAGAUACCCUUGUAGUC
rnacentral:rRNA from 1 species